CGUAUUCUGCUGUGUUCGAAGUGCAACGAACGUCCAAAUCCUUUAGUUCUUUAUACCGGGAGUUUGACCCUCUUGGAUGGCUGUCAGGCCGUAAAUCGGAAGACAAAAGUCCAAAGGAAAGCACCCACCUUACCGAUAAAGGUAUCGGGCAACUGAAGCACACGGCACAAUAGUGGGUACAC
rnacentral:other from 1 species